CAGAAAGUGAUCGAGACUCGGUGGCGGAGCGCACCGACUGCCGCCAGGAUGAGGAGGCUGCAGGAACUCACGACGACGAUGUUGUGGAGGCCGGUGGGAGUGAGAAGACUGAGGCAAAGCCCCGGGCUGGGGGACAUGAGGACGAGGCGGCCCCAGUACCUGAGGUGGAGGUGGAGGAGGAGGCGGGCCAGCCCCGUGAAAAUGGCCAGGAGGAGUCCUUAGCCAUCGCCUGGGCUGAGCCGGAAGACGAGCCUGGCCCCAAGGUGGACGGGGCGGACGAUGAAAUCUCUUGGAGCUUGGAGAGUGUGUGUGAGAGCGACCUCGCUGACAGCAACCUCGCAGAAAGUGAUCGAGGUAAGAACAGCUCUCAGGUAGGAGCCAGUGGGAGAGGGUUCCCGGGACACUUGGAACUUAGGCCUGCUGCUUGGAGGGUGGGGCGGGUGAGUGUGCAAUUGCAAAAGAGAAAGAAAUUGGUGUAAAGAUGUUCGUCGCCU